rnacentral:rRNA from 1 species
UACGUAGGUGGCAAGCGUUAUCCGGAUUUAUUGGGCGUAAAGGGAACGCAGGCGGUCUUUUAAGUCUGAUGUGAAAGCCUUCGGCUUAACCGGAGUAGUGCAUUGGAAACUGGGAGACUUGAGUGCAGAAGAGGAGAGUGGAACUCCAUGUGUAGCGGUGAAAUGCGUAGAUAUAUGGAAGAACACCAGUGGCGAAAGCGGCUCUCUGGUCUGUAACUGACGCUGAGGUUCGAAAGCGUGGGGAGCAAAUAGG